CUCGAUUCUUCCUUGUUACCGUCUCCACUAAUAGACGGGUAUCAAAAAAGACGUUCACGCACGCGACAAACCCACCACACACACACACACACACACACACACACAGAUCUCAAGGAAAAGCGGGUAGUAAUGAAAAUGCCCGUGAAGCGAAAGAAUAGCAGUUCCAAUGGCAACGGCAGCAAGCACGGAAAUGGCAACAAGGGCAUCGUUGUCAAGAUGAAGAAGCAGGUGGAGGACGAUGAUUUCGAGAAGUUCCUGUCUGAGCUCUCGAAGACGACGCGGCACAUUGGCAUGGAGCGGACGGAGAGGAUGGUCAAGGAGGGGAGGGCUCGCGAAGGCCAGCGCAAGAAGCACGCCGACUUGGCGAAGCAGCGCUCGACUAACGAGCUGGAGAAUGCGCUAAUCAACCGCCAGAAGAGUAUGCAGCUGCAGCAGCUGCUGGCGGAGCUCCUUACCGCGCAGCGUCCCUUCGGUAGUAAGCCCAUGACGGACUUCCAUAGCGAGACGCACACCGGUAACCCCAACUUUGACGUCGCGGUUGGUGACAUGCAGGGCUGGCGUGCACAGAUGGAGGACGCGCACCUGGUAAAUGUAAAGUUCCUGUCUGGCGGCGCGGAUAGCAAGGAGGGCUACUUCGGCGUCUUCGACGGCCAUUCCGGCGUGCAGAGCGCCAACCUGUGCAGCCAGAUCUUCUCCAGUACCGUGGAGAAGUACGCGACGCCGGCGGGCAAUCAUCACCACACCAUCGACUUUGAGAAGGCCUUCCUUGACGUCGAUAGGCAGCUCAAGGGCGCGCUCGGCGAGGGCGGCUCUGGCUGCACGGCUGUCACCGUGUACGUGUCCCCUGAGGAGAUUACGUGCGCGUGGGUCGGCGACUCGCGUGCGGUGCUGUGCCGCAACGGCGGCGCCUUUGCCCUGUCGCACGACCACAAACCGGACGUGGCGGCCGAAAAGGAGCGCAUCGAGGCGGCCGGCGGAUUUGUGCAGGACAACCGCGUGAACGGACAGCUGGCCAUGAGCCGCGCCAUGGGCGAUUUUGUGUACAAGGGGGACACCAAGCGGGAGGUAGCGCAGCAGCUUGUGGUGCCGGUGCCCGGCGUGAUCACAACAAAGCGGAGCGCCGGCGACUCGUACGUGGCCAUCGCCUGCGACGGCAUCUUCGAUGUGCUGAGCAGCGAGGAGCUCAUCGAGUUCAUUAACGACAAGAAAGCGAAAGGCCUGCCGAACAUCGACAUCUGCAAGGAUGUGUGCAACCGAUGCCUCGCGCCGAGCUCGCCGGAGGGCGGCCCGGCCGUGGCGGAGGGCACCGACAAUAUGACCAUCAUGAUCGUGGAUCUCAAGUGAACCGCGGGAGCGAGCCUGCAAACCCUGGUAGAAGUCUCUGUACACAACGUAAAAAGGAAACAAAAAAAAAACGCAGCCACAGGCGAAACGGUCAAAGUAAAAAUGUUUUCGUGUCGCUCUCUUGCUUUUGUGUGCAUGUGCAUGUGUGUGUGUGUGUGUGUGUGUGCAUGUGUAGAAAAAUGGAGAGAGAGCGUGCACGGACGCAUGUGUGCGGAGGCGUGCACGUCUACGUCUCUCUCUUUGUGCGGCACUUUCUUCCUGUUGGAGUGCUUCUAGUGGGAACACCUUGCUGGUCUUGAUCAUGAUGCUCGCCGUUCAUUCUCGCUGGACUGCCGUUCUGUGUAUGCUGGCGUGCUCUUGUGCU
rnacentral:misc_RNA from 1 species